GUCAGUCAUGCUUUCAGCAGUGCUGCCUACUCAACCCCACCUCUCAUCCUUUUCCUUCCCCAUCUUAAGAGAAGCAAGAUUCAUGAAGGAGAGAGGAAGAUGAAGCAAGGAAAAUGAUGAGUCAUAUACAAGAUCUCCUUGCAGCUGGGGUUUAGAAGCAAUGAGGAUCUGCCAGUCUAUCCGACUGCCAUGGGAUUUGGAAGCUUCCAGGGUUUCAAGAAGCAGAAGCAGAAGUG